UAUGCUUAACACAUGCAAGUCGAACGGCAGCACGAGAGAGCUUGCUCUCCUGGCUGACGAGUGGCGGACGGGUGAGUACGCGUAAGAAUCUGCCUAGUAGUGGGGGAUAACUCGGGGAAACUCGAGCUAAUACCGCAUACGCCCUACGGGGGAAAGUGGGGGACCUUCGGGCCUCACGCUAUUAGAUGAGCUUGCGUUGGAUUAGCUAGUUGGUGAGGUAAUGGCUCACCAAGGCGACGAUCCAUAGCUGGUCUGAGAGGACGAUCAGCCACACUGGGACUGAGACACGGCCCAGACUCCUACGGGAGGCAGCAGUGGGGAAUAUUGGACAAUGGGCGCAAGCCUGAUCCAGCAAUACCGCGUGUGUGAAGAAGGCCUGCGGGUUGUAAAGCACUUUCAAUUGUGAAGAAAAGCUUGGGGUUAAUAGCCCCGAGUCUUGACGUUAACUUUAGAAGAAGCACCGGCUAACUCUGUGCCAGCAGCCGCGGUAAUACAGAGGGUGCGAGCGUUAAUCGGAAUUACUGGGCGUAAAGCGUGCGUAGGCGGUUUAGUAAGUCAGAUGUGAAAGCCCUGGGCUUAACCUGGGAACUGCAUUUGAAACUGCUGAACUAGAGUGUGGUAGAGGGAAGUGGAAUUCCGGGUGUAGCGGUGAAAUGCGUAGAUAUCCGGAGGAACACCAGUGGCGAAGGCGACUUCCUGGACCAACACUGACGCUGAGGUACGAAAGCGUGGGUAGCAAACAGGAUUAGAUACCCUGGUAGUCCUCGCCUUAUACGAU
rnacentral:rRNA from 1 species